rnacentral:lncRNA from 1 species
CAAAGCCUGGUUUGAAUAUGCAUUUGCGGCCUGUCAUUUCACUUUCACACACAGUCCCCACACAUUGUUCGAAUCAUUACUCUCUUCUUUAUAAACUCAUCAUCAUUUCUGCCCUUUUCAGUUUUCUUCGCUUUGCUUGAUGAUCCAUGUUUUGUAGAUGUAGAUAGAAGAAGGGAAUGCAAGAGAAAAAUACUUCACUAUUUGCAGAUUUAGAGCAAAAUGAACCAGCAAGAAUUGCCUCCAAAGAAACCCAAAGGUGGGCUCAUUACCAUGCCAUUCAUUAUAGGUAAGGUCGACAGAACUGAACAUGUCAUUUCUUGAAUCUCGAGGCCCAAAUUUACUAAAAUCUUGUGAUUUGUCUUUGUGGUUUGGCAGCAAAUGAGGCAUUUGAAAAGGUGGCAAGUUAUGGGUUGUUACCCAAUAUGAUAUUUUAUCUGACGAGAGUAUACAAUAUGGGAGUUACAAGAGCUACCAAUAUGAUCUUCUUCUGGUCUGCAGCUACCAAUUUCAUGCCCCUAAUUGGGGCAUUUGUUGCUGAUUCAUUUCUGGGUCGGUUCUUGACCAUUGGCUUUGGAUCUAUCGCCAGUCUUUUGGUAAACUCUUUUCCCUGUUUGCGAAUUAUUAUUUAAUUCUGCUACUAGUAUGGUAUGGUAUAUUAUUAUUUUUAUUUAUUGAAGUUUGUGUCAUAAAGUUUGAAAGUUUCUCAUUUGUACAGUACAGUGAUUCAUUCGAGCCACUACCGAGAUAUACAGGGUUUUCCGUUUUCGGGUGUACUGGAAAGUUAAUUUCUUGAAAUUAUGUUGAGGUUUACCAUUAAAAAAAGUAAAUUUUGUCAGUAAUGAGUAAUGCUAUUUAUCCCACUACGGUUAUAACAUUCAACAUAUCAUUUAGCACAACCUGAACUAAGCCGGUAACCUUGUUCAAUAAAUAUAAGUUUGAAAAUUAAUAGAAGAAAACUGGUAAAUACUUGUUCUUCAGCACAGCCAAACAUUCAAUACAGUAUCUAAUGGCUCUUGCAGUAAUCUGGUUUGAGAUUAGUACUAUUAACUAACAUUAUUGCAUCAACGUUUUUCAUUUUUUUUUAAUAAUUUUAUAUGGAGAGAGCACUUAGGUUAUUACAUUAAUGCUGCUAUAGAUUCUUCUCUUUUGAGUAAAUGUUGUUUUAUGUUCUUGGCCUGGGUAACUUGUCCUCGUGAGCUGCUGAUGAAAUUAAUACUUUUCGUGAUUACUUUGGGUCGAGCAUUGAAUGAAAUUUAUUCUAUUCAUGUAAACUACAAUUUGAGCACCAAGUAUGGUGCCAAUUUUACAAUAUGCUACCAAAAGUUGUAGCUGGUGAGCGAUGGUGCCACCGUCGAUGUUAAACCUUGAAUAAGUGAAUAUUCGUAACAAAGACAUCAAGGGAUCUCUUCUAUGCUCCUUCAAUGCUCAAGUUAGCAAAGGGAGAAAUGCAUUAUCACAUAUGUAAAACUGGAUAGGAUCACGUACCUUUUGUGAGGUGAGAGAGGCCCUACUCAUACAGGUUAAGAGCCUUAUGGCGGCUUGGGAGUUCCAGCAUAUCGGCUAUCUGCAAUUUUCAAAGUAUUGAUUUUGAAAGUUUAUAAAUGGAUCGAUUUUGAGUGGUUUUAGUAGAUAUUUUUAAAAUUGUCCGACCUAUUCUUGGAAGUUUAUUACUCACUGGUUCUGAAAUUUUUUUAAAAGAAUAAAAUUACAUAUGUGUUUCUUAGUAAAAACUUUUGAUUUAUAAUUUCUCAUAUGAAAUUUUUUACUUAUAUAAGUGAUAUUUUACUUUUAAGUAAUUUUCUUACAUAUAAGUUAACAUUUAACUUUAAAAAUUGAAUAAAAUUAAGUAUCUACUUGAAAUUUUAAGUUAAUAUAUUUUUUACUUGUAAGUAAAUUUCAUAAUCAUAAUUAUAAGUUAUUUUAUUCUUCUAAAUAUUUUAAGUGAAUUUUUUUACUUAUAUGUACCUUUUUAUGUAAGUGAAUUUUUUUUAUCUUAUUAGUAGUAUUUUUAUUUUAUAAGCAAUUUUUUUUUUUUUUUACAUAAAAUUGGUUUUUUUAAUUAUAUGUAAUUUUUUAAUUUUAUAUAUAUAUAUUUUUAUUUAUUUAUUUAUUUAUUUAUUUUGCUUAUAAGUAAUCUAUUAGUUAAUAUAUAUUUUUACUUACAAGUCUGUUUUGAAGAAAAUAUGUUGGUUGAAAAUAAUUAUUUUAUAGAGGAUAAAAUUAGAAGAAAAUAUGGGAAACAAUCAAAACCCGUGGAUUUGGUGAGUUGAGAGAACUAGUCAAAAUUACACUACACAAAUUUUGGCAAUUUUUAAACCAUCCAAAAUCAGUGCCCAAAAACACUAACAAACACCUGUUUUUCCAACCACCCAAAACCGGUGAAAAGAUCUCCCAAGCAGGCCCCCAGGCUAUCUGUUACUUAGCUCCAUGGGUUGGAGUCAACUAAGACAUUUUCUUAGGGCAUGACGAUUCUUUCCAUUAGAGGGUUUAGUCCUAGCCUCCUAGGAGACACUUUAGUACGUUAAAGGGUCCCCAAGGAGUGCACUUUCACGAUGCAGUGGUGCGUUCCUUGAGGAAUGAGGACUCAGUAUACUUGCACACAUCCGUAAUAGGUCGGUCCCUAGAGGCACGAUCUUCAGAUUGGGCCCCGAGCCCAAUAUCUCCAUCUAGGGAUGAACCAUAAUUGGGUGGGCUCGUUUGGUUUUUGCCUGGUCAGCAUAAGCUAUUCAUCAAACCAGGUGAAUUAUGUGUGCACUUCCACAAAUGCAUGAUCCUGAAUGUGUCUCUAAACAAAGACUCGUCUGAAUGUUCUAUUUCAUUUAUCAGGGGAUGAUCCUUCUAUGGCUAACAGCUAUGGUUUCCAAAGCAAGUCCUUCACCUUGUGAUCAAUUGGCCCACAGCUGUAAAUUUCCCUCACAGGCACAAUAUGCUCUCCUGAUUUCCUCAUUUGGCCUUAUAUCCGUUGGUGCUGGUGGCAUUAGGCCAUGCUCCUUAGCAUUUGGAGCCAAUCAGCUAGACAAAAGAGACAAUCCCAACAAUGAUAGGGUGCUAGAAAGCUUCUUUAGUUGGUAUUAUGCUUCAGCAGCUGUUUCAGUUCUUAUUGCUCUAACCGGCAUUGUUUAUAUUCAAGAUCACUUGGGAUGGAAAAUAGGUUUUGGAGUUCCUGCACUUCUCAUGUUUGUCUCGACUCUACUCUUUUUCCUUGCAUCAUCAUUGUAUGUCAAACAGAAAGCAAGCAAGAGCUUGUUUACUGGCUUUGUGCAGGUCCUUGUAGUCGCAUACAAAAACAGAAAGCUAGCGCUUCCCUGUAACUCAAAUCUUUAUCAUCAUGAGAAAGGCUCUGAACUUACCAUGCCAACUGACAAGCUAAGGUACUAUGAUGAACUCCAAAAAUAUUAGUAUUAUUUAGCAUUGAACGUUAUCCAUUCUAAUUCGCUCAUUGUUCGUUUCUAUAUUCCAGGUUCUUAAACAAGGCUUGUAUUAUCAAGAAUCCUGAAGAUAUAUCUUCUUCCGGAGUAGUUUCGAACGGGUGGAAUUUAUGCACGAUAGAACAAGUGGAGGAGUUAAAAGCACUUAUAAAAGUCAUCCCUAUAUGGUCUACCGGGAUAAUGGUAUCAAUAAACAUAAGCCAAAGUUCAUUUCCCUUGCUUCAAGCUAGCUCCAUGUAUAGACAUAUAACUUCAAGCUUUGAAAUUCCAGCUGGCUCCUUUGGGAUGUUUACGAUCAUUACUAUAUCGAUUUGGGUUGUUCUAUAUGAUCGUGUAAUUAUACCACUGGCAUCGAAACUUAUAGGGAAGAAGGUGCAUCUUGGGGUGAAGUUAAGAAUGGGAAUUGGGAUUUUCUUCUCGUGUAUGGCUAUGGUAGUUUCCGGCACAGUGGAGCACGUUCGUAGGCGCAAGGCAAUCGAGCAAGGAUUAUCGAACAAUCCCCAUGCGGUGGUAAACAUGUCUGCAAUGUGGCUUAUACCUCAACAUAUCUUAAGUGGACUAGCAGAGGCUUUUAACGCAAUCGGCCAAACGGAAUUCUAUUAUUCCGAGUUCCCGAAAAGCAUGUCGAGCAUUGCAUCGUCGCUGUUUGGGGUCGGGAUGGCGAUAGCAAACUUGCUUGCAACUGUUAUACUCAGCUCUGUGGAUAAUCUUACCAGAUCACAAGGGAAAGAGAGUUGGGUUUCUAGCAACAUCAACAAGGGUCACUAUGAGUAUUACUAUUGGCUUCUUGCAAUUAUGACCUUCGUUAAUUUGAUUUAUUUUCUUGUUUGUAGCUGGGUUUAUGGAUCUUGUGUUAAUGAGGUAGCAAAAACUAGUACUGAAGGAAAUGAAUUGGAGGAGGAAAAAUCAUCUGUACCAGGAACACCACUUGGGGUAUUGAUGUCUUAAUUUCUAUCCUAUGAUCUUGAUUGUUGUACUUGAUGUAAAAUUACAUGUUUUUAGUCGUAUAUUUGGUUACUAGCAUAUGCAAAUUUUGUGUACAAUUCGUUUUUAUUUGAAAGCAAGUCCACAAUUGUGACGAGAGUCUAUCCAAUACUACAUAACAAAUGAACUCGAGUGCAUAGUUAUCUUAUCAAACAAGCUAUCAACGAAAUAUAUAAAAAGAUUAUUACACAGAACCACCUGCUUGAAAUGCAACUCAAUUUACCAGAAAAUGUUCUAAAUUAUUCAAAUACAGCAACAUAAUAAAAUCAUCACAGAAGUAAUUCCAAUUGAAUCCAAUCGUCUCUCUUUCUUUCAUCAACUCACCGGCUGCUCAGAUUCCAGUGGAAGCCCAAGCUCCUGCUCCGGCGAAUUCUCCUUCACCUUCCGCGAGUUUCGACUGGGAACUGGAAUCGCCAAAAAACUCUUGUUCUUGCUAAUGGGCUUGCUUUUUUCCAGCUGAACAAUAUCCCCAACUUGGAAUUGGUUCAGUGGGUCAUGGACUUGGUACUUCUUCUUGAUUCUAACCCGGCGCUUGUACUUUGGGUGUGGAGCAAGGCGCACAACCUCCACGGCUACGGUCUUGUCGUUGGUGGCGCAAACUACCUUGCCUUGAAGGGUCCUCAUCGCUUUGAUCACCGGGAGGAAUGGCGGCUGCUGCGGUGGUGUGACGGCAGAGGAUUUGAGGAGGUGGGAGCAGGGGGUCGAACCAUGGAUGAAUUGGGUGGUGAGGGAUAGGGAUUUGAAUUGGGGGACUGAAGCCGAGGUCGGAAACAUUUUCUUUUGGCUUGAAGAGGAUAGGGAGCGAAUUCCUAUAUCCCGUACACGGAUAAAAACGUGUAUUCAAAAAAGCGAUUUCUAGUACAGCGAUAAAAACGUUAAGCUGGAGGUAUAUAGUUGGGAGUAUUGUUGAGGUAUUCAUCAUUUUUCAAAUUCAUUUAAAUUUUGAAGAAGAGUGUGGGUGAACAUUUGUCUCCAAAUCCUUGAAUCGCA